rnacentral:RNase_P_RNA from 1 species
GGAGACGGCCAGGCAGCCGCUGUGGCGACACAGAGGAAAGUCCGGGCUCCACAGGGCAGGAUGCGGGGUAACCCCCCGGCGCGUAUAACCGCCGCGCAAGCGGCGCCAAGGCGACGAACAGGGCCACAGAGACGAGUCCUCGGGGUCAAACCCGAGGGGUGAAACGGGCAACCUCCAUCCGGAGCAACACCAAAUAGGCAAGCGCUUGAGGCCGGCCCGGCCGAGCUUGCGGGUAGGUGGCUUGAGCCCGCGGGUGACCGCGGGCCUAGAGGAAUGGCUGCCGGAAGGGGUUCGCCCCUUCGCACAGAACCCGGCUUAUCGGCCGUCUCCCGUU